CACCUGUUGAGAGCUGCUGGGUCUUACGUCAAUCACUGAAUGGCCCAGGGCUAAGAAGCAGGGUGCAGCCAGAAGACCCCAUCGCAUGCCUCCAGCACAAGGACUGAUGUGCUACACCGUGCCUGGCCGGGGGACACGAAGCCGGGCGGCAAGAAAAGAAACAGCAAAAGCAGAGAUAGCAGGGCGGUGGCAUCAGAGCCCUUCCAGCAGCAGUACAGAGCAGGGUGUCUAACUGGAGGACCCAGGAAACAGCUCAGCGAAAGCUAGGAGGCUGGCUUUUCUUCAAGGAGGCAAAUAGGAGCUGCCCAAAUCUAGAAAAUAUUUCGACCCAGCACGCAAAAAGCAAGAGAAAAUGAAAACUUAACGUUAGUUCAGAAAUACAUUUGAAUAAAUACUCCAAGCAUUUUUUUUAUGGUAA